rnacentral:lncRNA from 1 species
AACUCUGACUUCUCCAAGAACAUUCCACUUCCUCGUCUCACAGUUUGGUUUACUGCAGGAACAAAACAACACAGUAAGAAACAGUUCUUCUGUAGCUAUAGAUUCCUAUCUAAACCCCGUUGUUUGUUUUUUUUACUUACCAUAAAUGAUUUAUAAACCUAGCAAGGCUUCCUUUCUUAGUGGCGUCAAUAGCCUCAGAGGCAUUGAGAGAUAUUAUGUAAGCAUCCUUUACACCUGCACCCAUGUGUAACACACAGUUUCAGCAUUAUGAAGAUCCUUCAACAUCUCUGUAUUCAGUACUCACCAUGAGUUUCGUAAGUUUGAGCUCUACGCUUUGCUUCUUUACUGGAUCGCAAACACCAAAUACACAAUCAGUUCAUUUGUUCAUACCUGAUUGAAUGUACACUUGAGAAAUGACUUAACCUUUAUGUCUUCAACAGCCACUAGUUCAAAAGCCGGCGAAGUCAGAGCUAAGGGAGCCACCGCUUCCCGGAGUCAACAGCCGGCAAAGUCAGUGCUAAGAGAGCCACUUCUUUCCGGAAACAGAAGCCCGACUUACGGAAGACAAGACCGGAAGAGAAUCCGGUAACCAAAAAGACGACGUUGCUCUCUCAAUGAAAGAAAAACCUAAUUUCCGUUUCUAAUACUUCUAUACUAAUCAAAAAUGGAGAAAUU